GACGAACGCUGGCGGCGUGCUUAACACAUGCAAGUCGAACGGAAAGGCCCUGCUUUUGUGGGGUGCUCGAGUGGCGAACGGGUGAGUAACACGUGAGUAACCUGCCCUUGACUUUGGGAUAACUUCAGGAAACUGGGGCUAAUACCGGAUAGGAGCUCCUGCUGCAUGGUGGGGGUGGAAAGUUUCGGCGGUUGUGGAUGGACUCGCGGCUUAUCAGCUUGUUGGUGGGGUAGUGGCUUACCAAGGCUUUGACGGGUAGCCGACCUGAGAGGGUGACCGGCCACAUUGGGACUGAAAUACGGCCCAGACUCCUACGGGAGGCAGCAGUGGGGAAUAUUGCACAAUGGGCGGAAGCCUGAUGCAGCAACGCCGCGUGCGGGAUGACGGCCUUCGGGUUGUAAACCGCUUUCGCCUGUGACGAAGCGUGAGUGACGGUAAUGGGUAAAGAAGCACCGGCUAACUACGUG
rnacentral:rRNA from 1 species